rnacentral:misc_RNA from 1 species
GAUGAAGAACGUAGCGAAAUGCGAUAAGUAAUGUGAAUUGCAGAAUUCAGUGAAUCAUCGAAUCUUUGAACGCACAUUGCGCCCGCCAGUAUUCUGGCGGGCAUGUCUGUUCGAGCGUCAUUUCAACCAUCAAGCCCCAGGCUUGUGUUGGGGACCUGCGGCUGCCGCAGGCCCUGAAAACCAGUGGCGGGCUCGCUGUCACACCGGGCGUAGUAGAUUUUAUCUCGCUCAGGGCGUGCUGCGGGUUCCGGCCGUUAAAAAGCCUUUUUUACCCAAGGUUGACCUCGGAUCAGGUAGGAAUACCCGCUGAACUUAAGCAUAUCAAUAAGCGGAGGA